UACAGAGGGUGCUAGCGUUGUUCGGAAUCAUUGGGCGUAAAGGGCGCGUAGGCGCCUUCUAAGUCGGACGUGAAAUCCCUCGGCUUAACCGAGGAACUGCGUCCGAUACUGAAAGGCUUGAAUCCGGGAGAGGGAUGUGGAAUUCCAGGUGUAGCGGUGAAAUGCGUAGAUAUCUGGAGGAACACCGGUGGCGAAGGCGGGUCUCUGGGCCGUAACUGACGCUGAGGAGCGAAAGCAUGGGGAGCGAACAGG
rnacentral:rRNA from 1 species